UCCAGUGACCACAUUCAGAGUAGUAGACAGAUCACAACAGGAAAACAGGAGUCUGACACUGUGACAUAGAUCUAAAUCAACCAAAUUAGACAGUGGCAUAUGUCUAAUCAACCAGAUACUGUAGGACUCCAAAUCUCCUUGAUGGAUCUCAGGGUUCUGGCUUUUGUGCUGUGUGUCACCAUAUACUCCAUCCAAGGAGCCAUUCCAAAAUGUUGUGUUGGGACAUCCAGGAACAUUCCUUUGAGCUUACUAAUGCGAGUGGAGCGAUAUGAUGUCCAACACAACCAUGGUGCAUGUGAGAUCGACGCUGUUGUAUUACAUGCCAAUGGGAGGAAGUACUGUGCAGACCCAAGAGUGAAGAAGGUCCUGGGAGUUGCCAUGCAGAUUAGGAAAGCUCAACUGAUGCGGGAAAAACUGAACUCAAUCAUGAGAAGAUGAGGGUAUAGAUCCUGCCAGUUCCCUACAGUGGAGUCACCGUGACAACUUUGAUUAAUGUGUUUUAAAUUCAAGUUUUUUGUUCUGUUUACACAUUAAAAAAAUAUUUCUUUUAAAUUGCCUUUUUAUAAUGUUCAUAUUUCAAUCAUUAAUAAAUUAACUGUGAUUUUCAAUUAACCCUAAUUAGCUUUUGCUUUAUUAGCCAACUCAAAUGUGGUGAGUGACCAGUGUAACGGAUGUGAAACGGCUAGCUUAGUUAGCGGUGCGCGCUAAAUAGCGUUUCAAUCGGUUACGUCACUUGCUCUGAGACCUUGAAGUAGUAGUUCCCCUUGCUCUGCAAGGGCCGCGGCUUUUGUGGAGCGAUGGGUAACGAUGCUUUGUGGGUGACUGUUGUCGAUGUGUGCAGAAGGUCCCUGGUUCGCGCCCGGGUAUGGGCGAGGGGACGGUUUAAAAUUAUACUGUUACACCAGCAAUAACAACUAAAAAUUGGUGAGGCUGAACAAAAUGCACAUGGAUAGAUUAAACAGCUUGUUGAACCUCCGAUCAGUGAAUUACUUCCUCUUCAACAUAGUGAUUUAAAUGAGUCAGUGGUUGGUGAUCUGAUCCAGGGUUUCCACUCAAGCAGCAUACUUUGUGUUAAUUAAUUACUCUCUAGAAGGCACUGCAUUCCCCAAAACAUUGAUUAUUGGGUUUACCCAUUAAAUUAUUGGGAGCAUAUAGAGUAUAUGUGACUUAUUUUACAAUUCAUUUCUUUUAACCAUAUGGGUUACACCCCAGUGAAAUAUGAGAAAUAAAGUAUUAAAACAAUGGAAAGGA